rnacentral:rRNA from 1 species
GAUGAACGCUGGCGGCGUGCCUAAUACAUGCAGGUCGAGCGAACAGACGAGGAGCUUGCUCCUCUGACGUUAGCGGCGGACGGGUGAGUAACACGUGGAUAACCUACCUAUAAGACUGGGAUAACUUCGGGAAACCGGAGCUAAUACCGGAUAAUAUAUUGAACCGCAUGGUUCAAUAGUGAAAGAGGGUGUUGCGGUCACUUAUAGAUGGAUCCGCGCCGCAUUAGCUAGUUGGUAAGGUAACGGCUUACCAAGGCAACGAUGCGUAGCCGACCUGAGAGGGUGAUCGGCCACACUGGAACUGAGACACGGUCCAGACUCCUACGGGAGGCAGCAGUAGGGAAUCUUCCGCAAUGGGCGAAAGCCUGACGGAGCAACGCCGCGUGAAUGAUGAAGGUCUUCGGAUCGUAAAACUCUGUUAUUAGGGAAGAACAAAUGUGUAAGUAACUAUGCACGUCUUGACGGUACCUAAUCAGAAAGCCACGGCUAACUACGUG